rnacentral:lncRNA from 1 species
GUUGAGUUCAGAAUGAUUUUGGUGAGGUUUGAGACACUUAGUCUCUUAAGUUGGUGCGUUAAUUAGAAAAGUUAACCGUAAGAUGGCUUGUGAGAAAACUAACUCGGAAGUUAGUUUUUAUGAUUCAGAUAGCUUCGGAAGGUGAUUUGGAACUUAGAAGUGUGAUCGGAAUAUCUAUUGGAGGUUCGGAACAGAUUUAGGCUUGAAUUGGCAAAAAUUGAUUUUGGCAUUUUCCGGUUGUUAGAGAAGAUUUUCAUAUCGGGAAUGGAAUGAUAUUCCGGAAGUUACAGUAGGUUCGUUGUGUCAAACGUGACGUGUGUGCAAAUUUUUAGGUCAUUUGGACGAGGUUUUAUAGACUUUUGAUCAAAAGCGUAAUUUGGAGUUUUUGGAGUUCUUAGGCUUGAAUCCAUGGUUGAUUAGUUAUUUUUCGAGGUUGUUUUAGGUGUUUCAAAGUUUGUUAUAAGUUUGGAGGGUGGUAUAUGUCUUUUUAUUACUUUUGGUUGAGGUCCGGAGACCUCGGGGUAAUUUCGGAUGGUCGGAUGGUUGACGGAAGAAUUGGAGUUUGAGAUUUGCAGCUAAAGCUGCUAAACCACUAUCAUAACCACACUUGCAUCUUGGGGACCACAAGUGCAGGACCGCAGAAGUGGAAGGCUAGCUGCAGAUGUGGAAGUUAGCGUGAACAGCUGAAGCGCAGGUGUAGAUGAUUG